rnacentral:rRNA from 1 species
UACAACAUACCACUAAUGCAUCAGAUCCCAUUGGAACUCUGCAGUUAAACGCUCCUCAGGCUAGAGUAGUACUGGGAUGGGUGAUCGCCUGGGAAGUUCUAGUGUUUUAC